CAUUCUUUUUUAUCUGUGUUAUUGUACGCGAUUUAUAUAAUUUCUAAAAUAUACAAAUUUUAUACGUGCAAUCCUCGCGAGUUUAUUUAUCAAGUUCCUUGCGCAUCCUUAUCAUCCAGUCCACUAAAGUUGGUAUUUUCGUAACAAUUUGUAGUAAGUACUGCACACGAAGCUACAGUUUUAAAAUAGGCCCGCAGAAGGAAAGAAGAAUUAGGAACACAAACCUAGUGCAUACAGUAAGCAUUGGAUAUAAUGAUAUAUACAUACAUAUACUUACUUUAUAUUGUAAUACAAUAUACAAAAAUA